UACAGAGGGUGCGAGCGUUAAUCGGAAUUACUGGGCGUAAAGCGCGCGUAGGCGGCUUUGCAAGUCGGGUGUGAAAGCCCGGGGCUCAACUCCAGAACUGCCUUUGAUACUGAGAAGCUUGAGUCCGGGAGAGGUGAGUGGAACUGCGAGUGUAGAGGUGAAAUUCGUAGAUAUUCGCAAGAACACCAGUGGCGAAGGCGGCUCACUGGCCCGGUACUGACGCUGAGGUGCGAAAGCGUGGGGAGCAAACAGG
rnacentral:rRNA from 1 species